ensembl:lncRNA
GAUUUUUUUUUUUUUUUUUUUUCUCAAUUCUUGUACUAAAAACGAUAUUGUUUUGUUAUGCACUUAUUCUUAUACAUAUAAUAUACACAUAUUUAAAUAUGUAUAUAUAUAUGUAUGUAUAUGUAUUUAUAUGUAUGUAUAUGUAUUUAUAUGUAUGUAUAUGUAUUUAUAUGUAUGUAUAUGUAUGUAUAUAUAUGUAUAUGAUUGGUCAAAAAAAAAAAAAAAAAAAGGAUCUUUUUUUUUCUUAUAACUUAUUAAAAAAAAAAAAAAAAAAAUAAAAUAGUCAGUAAACAAAGAAUAAAUAUUUAAGAAAUGAUUAUCAAAUAGAUAAAAAUAAAUAAAUAAAUAAAUAAACAAAUAAAUAAAUAAGUAAACUGAAACAAUGAUUUUGAACACUUCAACGGAUUUUGUGAUUAUUCAUGUAUUUGUUAAAGCGAUAUGAAUAAAAUAAAUUCUACGUUAAAUCAUAUGCAGUUAGUUAAUGAAAAUCUGAAAAAAUUAUUCUUAACACAACAAGAUUUUAAUGAUCAUGAUUCUUAUCUGUUGGUAAAUUUUUCAUAAAAAAAAAAUUGUGACAAAAGUGUAACUGCAUAAAUGUAAAUAGUGUGUGAAUGUAUGUACGUACGUGCCUGCGUAUAUAUAUACGCUUGUGUGCCUAUUUCAUGUGCAUCAUACAUAGUAUAACUUAAACAGAUCAUUUCUUUUAUCUUUUUUCCAUAAAAAAAAAAAAAAAAAAAAAAAAAAAAAAAAAAAAAAAAAAAAACCUAUGUGCAUUCAUUCUUAUAUUUACAGUUCCGAGGCAAAGUAUCAAAAAGAAUUGUCUAUUAUGCAUCUUUAAUUUCACAAUGUAAUAAUAACAUAUCUGUUUGUGAAAAUGCAGAUGAAAGUGUAGAUGAAUAUGUUAAGGAAAAACUUGAAUACCAUAUAAAAACUCUUAGAAACUAUAAAAGGGAACUAAGUAAAUGGUGGAUGGAACAUAAAAAGAAUUAUUAUCGUUUAUGUGUACAUAAUAUUUUAGAUAAAAAAAAAUGUGAGAGCCAUGAUACUAUAAAAACAAGUGGCACAGAUGUAAAUGACUUACAUUUAAAAGACACGAAAAAUAUGAUGAUAAAUGAAAUUAACAGAAUGAAAAAUGCAAAAUCACAAUUAUUAGAAUCUUCUCACAUAUUAAAAAAACAAGACAAAAUAUUUACUAUGUUCGAGUCAAGGUUAAAAUCAAGUGCACAACUUAUAUUAUCUAUAAGAAAAAAAGCAGAAAAAGACUCGAAAUAUGUUUGGUACUCUUUUUUUUUCUUUCUUAUUAAACUUUUAUUUUUCGCCAUAUUCUAUUUAUUAAAAUUUUGUAUCCGAGUGUUUUAUUUAUUUAAAACGAAAAAUAAAGAAAAUGAUUUUAGUACAAGCGCGGAUAUUUCGAAAAGUGUCACGUCAUAAUCGUUUAAGUAACUAGUGAAUUUUGAAAAAAAAAAAACAGACAUAAACAAACGUAAACAAACGAAAGCAAACAAAAACAAA